rnacentral:rRNA from 1 species
AAACUUACCAGGUCAAGACAUGGGCGUGAUUGACAGGCUAAUGACUUUUCUCGAUUCCAUGGAUGGUGGUGCAUGGUCGCACUUAGUUGGUGCAGUGAUUUGUCAGGUUUAUUCCGGUAACGAACGAGACCUCGGCCUUGUAAAUAGCUAUGCUGCUUACAGGGACAUUGGCGGCUACGCCAAGGAAGCUCGAGGCAAUUGCAGAUCUGGAAUGCCCUUAGAUGUCCUGGGUCGCACGCGUGCUACAAUGACGCCACGAACGAGCUUGCGUAAUGAAAGUUACGCAUAAUCAGCAGUCGGCGUCUUAAGGGAUAGUCUCUUGUAACUGUGGGACUCCAACUAGGAAUGUCUCGUAAGCACAAGUCAACAUCUUGUGUUGAUUACGUCCCUGCUCUUUGUACACACCGCCCGUCGCUCCUACCGAUCGAGUGUUUAGGUGAAUUUGAUGGACGUAAGGAAGUCAAAUAAACCUGAGCACUAGAGAAGAGAAGUCUACAUGC